UAUUUUUAGAGACACCUGCACGCUCAGAUUAGCUCUAAGGUAGAUUUGAGCUGUGAGGUAGAUUUGUAGCUGAAAGAUUUGGUUGUCAACUUUGGUUGUUUCCAUGCAACUGAGAACAAACUGAGACUAAAGAGACACAGAAUGCAGCCACAUGAGGUUAUUUGGCCUCUGGGUGGUUCUCACCACAGGCCUCUUCAUCAUUUCACAGACGUUUACAUCAAGCAGUUUCCUGGUCAUCAUCGACUCAGCAUCCUGUCUCACAGGUGACUUUGAUAUCACAAAAACGUCUCCAUUUCCUUCUCCCUUCCCCUUCUCUGGUGCCAAGGAAGCCCAUUUGUACAUAACCACCUUCCUGAAAAUCCUUAACCCUCUCCUACCUUCCCAAAGCGUGGGGUUUGUUUACUUAUCUAGACAGCCUUUAAGCUGAAUCUUCAGUACCAAGCUCUGUGAGACACUGAUUGAUGUUUAAAGAAGUACUGAAUAAUGCCUUUCUACCCCUGAACUUGUUUCCUGUUAAGCUCAGGAACUAAUGAUCAUGGUGGUGGUGAUAGUGAUGUGAUGAUGAUGGCAUACUUACUGAUCAGUCGCUAUGUUUGAGACACAAAGUACACAGUCUCUACCUCUACAAUCUCAUUUAAUCCUCCAUAUCAACCUUAGGAGAUAGCUACUAUUAUUAUCAUUUCCAUUUUACAGAUGGAAAAUGAAGCUCAGAGAGAUUGAGUGAUCUGCCUAUGAUUAUCCGACUAAGAAUUAGAAAAGCUGGGAUUUAUAUCCAAGCAGUAUGUAGAAUGCUAAACAUAGCCAUGGAGAAGCAGAUACCCAGUCAUAAAGAAGAAAAUUUGCUCAUUUUUUCCUGGGUCUGAGUUCCCUUCUUUCAGCUAAUAUUUGGCCUCCCCCUCCCUGCUCUCUGUCCUGUGGCCUCAAGCAGAGACAAAUUGCUCCACAAAUCUUUCUGUCAGAGAGCCAACCACAUUUCUCCUGCCAGCACCCCUGAUCCCAGGAGAAAAUGAGUGCCCUAUGUGCCCUGGUCUCCCUCAUGUUAUAAACCUUGUAUGUUGAGUGAUUCAUUUCUCAUUGAAAAAUAUGAUCGCCUUUCGACAUUUCUGCAGGAGAGCUCUAGUCAACUCUCCUUGGGAAAAAAAUUCCACUGGUAGGAAGUGAUAAAGGACAAGAACCCAAAUGAUGAACUGCAGGACAGAAAGACCCCGGCCAUUUCUCUGUCAGAAAAAAUCAUUUGUUCCCACAGGGUAUCUUGAUCAGGAAGGCUUCUCCCCCAGACAUCCGCGCGGCUUCCUCCCUCGCUUCUUGAAGGUGUUUAUUCAAAAACCACCUUCUAAAUAAACCACCUUUCCCACCUUCGUAUUUUUUUCUCUUCAGGACAUACCACUGUCUAACAUCCUUUAUAUCCUACCGAUUUUUCUGUUAUCUGCCUUGCACGAGGAUGUAGAUUCCAGGAAAGGAGGGAUUUUUCUGUGUUCUGUUUGUUACCAUAUUCCUAACACCCACAGCAGUGCUUGGCAAAUAGUCGGUGCUCAAUAAUGAUUUGUUGAAUUAACAAAUAGGUCAAAGUCUUCUGUGUAUAAUCUGUAAACGCUGAAUGAGAGAACGGAAAUAGCUGUACUAUAGGGUAAUUUGUGGGAAAAUAUCUGGUUGAGUUACAUUAGGAAAUGUUAACUGUGAAGUAAUGGUGCUCAUUUUAAUGGUAUUU
rnacentral:lncRNA from 1 species